rnacentral:rRNA from 1 species
UCCCAAAGUCAUGGUUAAGUGGGAAACGAUGUGGGAAGGCCCAGACAGCCAGGAUGUUGGCUUAGAAGCAGCCAUCAUUUAAAGAAAGCGUAAUAGCUCACUGGUCGAGUCGGCCUGCGCGGAAGAUGUAACGGGGCUAAACCAUGCACCGAAGCUGCGGCAGCGAACGUAUCACUUAAAGCGAUUCAGCGGGUUACGAUUGACGGAGCGAAGCGACGUCAAAGCGUAUACAAAGUCGAGUCGGUUUAAGGAUACGUUCGUUGGGUAGGGGAGCGUUCUGUAAGCCUGUGAAGGUGGCCUGUGAGGGUUGCUGGAGGUAUCAGAAGUGCGAAUGCUGACAUAAGUAACGAUAAAGCGGGUGAAAAGCCCGCUCGCCGGAAGACCAAGGGUUCCUGUCCAACGUUAAUCGGGGCAGGGUGAGUCGACCCCUAAGGCGAGGCCGAAAGGCGUAGUCGAUGGGAAACGGGUUAAUAUUCCCGUACUUGGUGUUACUGCGAAGGGGGGACGGAGAAGGCUAUGUUGGCCGGGCGACGGUUGUCCCGGUUUAAGCGUGUAGGUGUGUGUUCCAGGUAAAUCCGGUUCACUUUAACACUGAGGCGUGACGACGAGGCACUACGGUGCUGAAGCAACAAAUGCCCUGCUUCCAGGAAAAGCCUCUAAGCAUCAGGUAACAUCAAAUCGUACCCCAAACCGACACAGGUGGUCAGGUAGAGAAUACCAAGGCGCUUGAGAGAACUCGGGUGAAGGAACUAGGCAAAAUGGUGCCGUAACUUCGGGAGAAGGCACGCUGACACGUAGGUGAAGUGAUUUACUCAUGGAGCUGAAGUCAGUCGAAGAUACCAGCUGGCUGCAACUGUUUAUUAAAAACACAGCACUGUGCAAACACGAAAGUGGACGUAUACGGUGUGACGCCUGCCCGGUGCCGGAAGGUUAAUUGAUGGGGUCAGCGCAAGCGAAGCUCCUGAUCGAAGCCCCGGUAAACGGCGGCCGUAACUAUAACGGUCCUAAGGUAGCGAAAUUCCUUGUCGGGUAAGUUCCGACCUGCACGAAUGGCGUAAUGAUGGCCAGGCUGUCUCCACCCGAGACUCAGUGAAAUUGAACUCGCUGUGAAGAUGCAGUGUACCCGCGGCAAGACGGAAAGACCCCGUGAACCUUUACUAUAGCUUGACACUGAACAUUGAGCCUUGAUGUGUAGGAUAGGUGGGAGGCUUUGAAGUGUGGACGCCAGUCUGCAUGGAGCCGACCUUGAAAUACCACCCUUUAAUGUUUGAUGUUCUAACGUGGACCCGUUACCCGGGUUGCGGACAGUGUCUGGUGGGUAGUUUGACUGGGGCGGUCUCCUCCUAAAGAGUAACGGAGGAGCACGAAGGUUGGCUAAUCCUGGUCGGACAUCAGGAGGUUAGUGCAAUGGCAUAAGCCAGCUUGACUGCGAGCGUGACGGCGCGAGCAGGUGCGAAAGCAGGUCAUAGUGAUCCGGUGGUUCUGAAUGGAAGGGCCAUCGCUCAACGGAUAAAAGGUACUCCGGGGAUAACAGGCUGAUACCGCCCAAGAGUUCAUAUCGACGGCGGUGUUUGGCACCUCGAUGUCGGCUCAUCACAUCCUGGGGCUGAAGUAGGUCCCAAGGGUAUGGCUGUUCGCCAUUUAAAGUGGUACGCGAGCUGGGUUUAGAACGUCGUGAGACAGUUCGGUCCCUAUCUGCCGUGGGCGCUGGAGAACUGAGGGGGGCUGCUCCUAGUACGAGAGGACCGGAGUGGACGCAUCACUGGUGUUCGGGUUGUCAUGCCAAUGGCACUGCCCGGUAGCUAAAUGCGGAAGAGAUAAGUGCUGAAAGCAUCUAAGCACGAAACUUGCCCCGAGAUGAGUUCU